rnacentral:rRNA from 2 species
GUGCGAGACCGAUAGCGAACAAGUACCGUGAGGGAAAGAUGAAAAGAACUUUGAAAAGAGAGUUAAAGAGUACCUGAAACUGCUGAAAGGGAAGCGAAUCGUAUCCAGUGUCUAUAAUCUGCGGCAUAUUUCAUUGGCGGCAGUGUGCGUGCUUUUGCGUCGGAAGCGGCUUUUGUUGCUCUGUGCUUUUGCUGUGCGUGCUGUUGCUGGUGCCCUGUGUUGCGGUGGGACGUCAGAGUCAGUUCGUAUGCUGCGGGAAAUGGCCGCCGAGGAGGUAGGUCAGGACUUCGGUCUUGGCUGUUAUAUCUUGGUGGUUUGUUGUCGUGGUUGAGACUGAGGUGCCUACAAUGUGCUUUUGAGUGUACCGGGUUCUCAUUUGGUGGACUGUUUGGAUAGCUUGCUAUGCUUGUGGUUUUUUCAUCGGGUGAUUGAGUCUGGUGGUAACUUGUUGCUGUUCGGGACUUUGA